UACGGGGGGAGCUAGCGUUUUUCGGAAUUGCUGGGCGUAAAGGGCGCGUAGGCGGCCAAUAAAGUUGAAAGUGAAAGCCCCGGGCUUAACCUGGGAACUGCUUUCAAAACUCAUUGGCUAGAGGAUGAUAGAGGACAGUAGAAUUCCUAGUGUAGAGGUGAAAUUCUUAGAUAUUAGGAAGAAUACCAGAGGCGAAGGCGACUGUCUGGGUCAUAUCUGACGCUGAGGCGCGAAAGCGUGGGGAGCAAACAGG
rnacentral:rRNA from 1 species